rnacentral:rRNA from 1 species
UACUAGAGUAGCACUCGCAUAUCAAUAAGCGGAGGAAAAGGGGGGCUAUUACCUACGCUUAGGAUGUUGAUAUGCAUGACUGAUAUAGUCUAUACACGACUCUGCGCAUAUCAAUAAGCGGAGGAAAAGAAACUAACAAGGAUUCCCCUAGUAACGGCGAGUGAAGCGGGAAGAGCUCAAAUUUGAAAUCUUAAAGGGUUUCCCUUUACGAAUUGUAGUUUAAAGAAGUGUUUUCUGUUGAGGUUUUGGUAAAAGUUCUUUGGAAUAGGACAUCAUAGAGGGUGAGAAUCCCGUAUUUGACCUUUACUUUCAACUUUGUGAUACACUUUCAAAGAGUCGGAUUGUUUGGGAAUGCAGUCCAAAAUGGGUGGUAAAUUUCAUCUAAAGCUAAAUAUUGGCGAGAGACCGAUAGCGAACAAGUACCGUGAGGGAAAGAUGAAAAGAACUUUGAAAAGAGAGUUAAACAGUACGUGAAAUUGUCAAAAGGGAAGCGUUUGACACCAGUGUUGUUUUUCUGAAAAUCAAUUAAAGAACUGUUUAUGCUAAGUUGUUUAGACUUUAUCAGCUAAUCUGCUUAGUUUUGAGCUUUUCUUUAAUGCACUUCUCAGUUAACAAGUCAACAUCAAUUUCUUUUGCUGUAAAAAGGCUUGAGGAAGGUGGCUUGAGAUUCGUCUUAAGUGUUUAUAGCCUCUUGCCUAUGCAGUCGGAGAGAUUGAGGUCUGCAGCGUAGAUCCUUCGGGGCUAAAUGCAUUUGUGCUAAGUUAUAGCAUUUUAUAGACAACUUGUUGACUAUGAUUUGUCUUGUAGCUUACUCGCUUAUGUUAUUUUACCUACGCUUAGGAUGUUGAACUCUAUCACACACAG